rnacentral:rRNA from 1 species
UACGGGGGGGGCAAGCGUUGUUCGGAAUUACUGGGCGUAAAGGGCUCGUAGGUGGCCAACUAAGUCAGACGUGAAAUCCCUCGGCUUAACCGGGGAACUGCGUCUGAUACUGGAUGGCUUGAGUUCGGGAGAGGGAUGCGGAAUUCCGGGUGUAGUGGUGAAAUGCGUAGAGAUCCGGAGGAACCCCAGAGGCGAAGGCGGCCCCCUGGCUCGUACCUGACGCUCAGCCACGAAAGCAUGGGGAGCGAACGGGG